AGCUUUGCACAGUGGCAGUAUCGUAGCCAAUGAGGUUUAUCCGAGGCGCGAUUAUUGCUAGUUGAAAAAGGGCUUGAACAGAAUUUUGAACUAGUGUCUUUAGCUCCAUCCGCUUAUUUGAGCACUGGAAUUUGUUUC
ensembl:snRNA U4 U4 spliceosomal RNA